rnacentral:rRNA from 1 species
CCUACGGGAGGCAGCAGUGGGGAAUAUUGGACAAUGGGCGAAAGCCUGAUCCAGCCAUGCCGCGUGUGUGAAGAAGGCCUUCGGGUUGUAAAGCACUUUCAGUGGGGAAGAAAGCCUUGGGGCUAAUACCCUCGAGGAAGGACAUCACCCACAGAAGAAGCACCGGCUAACUCCGUGCCAGCAGCCGCGGUAAUACGGAGGGUGCGAGCGUUAAUCGGAAUUACUGGGCGUAAAGCGCGCGUAGGCGGUCUGAUAAGCCGGUUGUGAAAGCCCCGGGCGCAACCUGGGAACGGCAUCCGGAACUGUCAGGCUAGAGUGCAGGAGAGGAAGGUAGAAUUCCCGGUGUAGCGGUGAAAUGCGUAGAGAUCGGGAGGAAUACCAGUGGCGAAGGCGGCCUUCUGGACUGACACUGACGCUGAGGUGCGAAAGCGUGGGUAGCAAACAGGAUUAGAUACCCCAGUAGUC